rnacentral:rRNA from 1 species
AGAGUUUGAUUCUGGCUCAGAAUGAACGCUGGCGGCAUGGAUUAGGCAUGCAAGUCGAACGAGAAUCACUUCGGUGAGGAAAGUGGCGAAAGGGUGAGUAACGCGUGAGUAAUUUGCCCUCGAGUUUGGAAUAACACUACGAAAGUGGUGCUAAUACCGGAUGUGGAAUAGUGAACGCAUGUUCACUAUAUCUAAAGGUUUACCGCUCGAGGAUGAACUCGCGUCCCAUUAGCUUGUUGGUAGGGUAAAGGCCUACCAAGGCGAUGACGGGUAGCUGGUCUGAGAGGAUGAUCAGCCACACUGGGACUGAGACACUGCCCAGACUCCUACGGGAGGCUGCAGUCGAGAAUCUUCCGCAAUGCGCGAAAGCGUGACGGAGCAAUGCCGCGUGAGGGAUGAAGGCUUUCGGGUCGUAAACCUCUGUCACAAGGGAUGAAUACAUGACAGUACCUUGAGAGGAAGCCACGGCUAACUACGUGCCAGCAGCCGCGGUAAUACGUAGGUGGCGAGCGUUAUUCGGAUUUACUGGGCGUAAAGGGUCCGUAGGGGGUUUGUUAAGUUUGAUGUGAAAUCCAACGGCUCAACCGUUGAACUGCAUUGAAAACUGGCAGACUAGAGUACAAGAGAGGAAAGUGGAAUUUCUGGUGUAGCGGUGGAAUGCGUAGAUAUCAGAAGGAACAUCGAAGGCGAAGGCAGCUUUCUGGCUUGUUACUGACCCUGAGGGACGAAAGUUAGGGGAGCGAACAGGAUUAGAUACCCUGGUAGUCCUAACAGUAAACGUUGUAUACUCGAUGUUGGAAGGUUUAACCCUUUCAGUGUCUUAGCUAACGUGUUAAGUAUACCGCCUGGGGAGUACGGUCGCAAGACUAAAACUCAAAUGAAUUGACGG